rnacentral:rRNA from 1 species
CACGUAGGGCGCGAGCGUUGUCCGGAAUCAUUGGGCGUAAAGAGCGUGUAGGCGGCCUUUUAAGUCCUGCGUGAAAUCCUGCGGCUCAACCGCAGACGGUCGUGGGAAACUGGAAGGCUAGAGUGCGGGAGAGGAGAGUGGAAUUCCCGGUGUAGCGGUGAAAUGCGCAGAUAUCGGGAAGAACACCCGUGGCGAAGGCGGCUCUCUGGAACGCAACUGACGCUGAGACGCGAAAGCGUGGGGAGCAAACAGG